AUUGAACGCUGGCGGCAUGCUUUACACAUGCAAGUCGAACGGUAACAGGCCUUCGGGUGCUGACGAGUGGCGAGCGGGUGAGUAAUGCAUCGGAACGUACCCAGAGGUGGGGGAUAACGCAGCGAAAGCUGUGCUAAUACCGCAUGUGAUCUGAGGAUGAAAGCGGGGGACCGAGCAGCAAUGUUUGGCCUCGCGCCUUUGGAGCGGCUGAUGUCGGAUUAGCUAGUUGGUGGGGUAAAGGCCUACCAAGGCGACGAUCCGUAGCUGGUCUGAGAGGACGACCAGCCACACUGGGACUGAGACACGGCCCAGACUCCUACGGGAGGCAGCAGUGGGGAAUUUUGGACAAUGGGCGCAAGCCUGAUCCAGCAAUGCCGCGUGCGGGAAGAAGGCCUUCGGGUUGUAAACCGCUUUUGGCAGGAACGAAACGGUGUCCGCUAAUACCGGGCGCUAAUGACGGUACCUGCAGAAUAAGCACCGGCUAACUACGUG
rnacentral:rRNA from 1 species